GACGAACCGUGCGACCGUUAUUCGGAAUCACUGGGCUUAAAGGGUGCGUAGGCUGCGAGGAGGGUGGGGUGUGAAAUCCCUCGGCCUAACCGAGGAAUUGCGCUCCAAACCGCCUUGCUGGAGUGAGACAGAGGUGAGCGGAACUAAUGGUGGAGCGGUGAAAUGCGUUGAUAUCAUUAGGAACACCAGAGGCGAAGGCGGCUCACUGGGUCUCAACUGACGCUGAUGCACGAAAGCUAGGGUAGCGAACGGG
rnacentral:rRNA from 1 species